AGCGUUUCAUUUCGACGAAAAGGUUUAACGUUGGAUUAGAUAAAUCAUCUGUUUCGCAUAUUGUUGUUUCUGUUGUUUGGAUUAGAAUUUGGUUUGUGGUCCGUAUAAAGUUGGCUCAAGGAGGGUUAUUUCGAUUGCUUCACUGUUAGUUUGAAAUCUGAUUAAGUAGCCUAUUAGUUCAUGCUUUCAGAUCUGUAAAUUCUG
rnacentral:lncRNA from 1 species